rnacentral:rRNA from 1 species
UACGAAGGGGGCUAGCGUUGCUCGGAAUCACUGGGCGUAAAGCGCACGUAGGCGGAUUGUUAAGUCAGGGGUGAAAUCCUGGAGCUCAACUCCAGAACUGCCUUUGAUACUGGCGAUCUUGAGUCCGGGAGAGGUGAGUGGAACUGCGAGUGUAGAGGUGAAAUUCGUAGAUAUUCGCAAGAACACCAGUGGCGAAGGCGGCUCACUGGCCCGAUACUGACGCUGAGGCACGAAAGCGUGGGGAGCAAACAGG